rnacentral:rRNA from 1 species
GACGUAGGGUGCGAGCGUUGUCCGGAUUUAUUGGGCGUAAAGAGCUCGUAGGCGGCUCGUCGCGUCAGCUGUGAAAACCCGCAGCUUAACUGUGGGCUUGCAGCUGAUACGGGCGGGCUAGAGUUCGGUAGGGGAGACUGGAAUUCCUGGUGUAGCGGUGAAAUGCGUAGAUAUCUGGAGGAACACCGGUGGCGAAGGCGGCAUCCUGGACCAACACUGACACUGAGGAGCGAAAGCCAGGGGAGCAAACGGG